AACCUAUGCAGGGGAAUAACCUCGGGAAACUGAGUAUAAUGCCCCAUAGUCCACUACGCCUGGAACGGUGAGUGGAUCAAAGCUCAGGCGGCAUAGGAUGGGCCUGCGGCGUAUCAGGUUGUAGGGGGUGUAAAGUACCCUCUAGCCAUCUACGCGUACGGGUGUUGGGAGACAUAGCCCGGAGAUGGAUUCUGAGACACGAAUCCAGACCCUACGGGGUGCAGCAGGCGCGAAAACUUGACAAUGCGAGCAAUCGUGAUCAGGGAACUCCAAGUGGCUGGGGUAAGACCCAGUCUUUUCAUAACUCUUCAAAGGUUGUAGAAUAAGGGGUGGGUAAGGACGGUGCCAGCCGCCGCGGUAAUACCGGCGCCUCAAGUGGUAGUCGCUUUUAUUGGGCCUAAAACGUCCGUAGCCGGUUUGGUACAUUCGUGGGUAAAUCAACUCGCUCAACGAGUUGAAUUCUGCGAGGACGGCCAGACUUGGGACCGGGAGAGGUGUGGGGUACUCUCAGGGUAGGGGUAAAAUCCUGUCAUCCUGAGAGGACCACCUGUUGCGAAGGCGCCACACUAGAACGGAUCCGACGGUCAGGGACGAAGCCUAGGGGCACGAACCGGAUUAGAUACCCGGGUAGUCCUAGGUGUAAACGCUGUGGACUUGAUGUUGGAGAAGCUCCGAGCUUCUUCAGUGUCGAAGCGAAGGUG
rnacentral:rRNA from 1 species